rnacentral:rRNA from 1 species
GUAGGGAAUCUUGCGCAAUGGGCGAAAGCCUGACGCAGCCAUGCCGCGUGAAUGAUGAAGGUCUUAGGAUUGUAAAAUUCUUUCACCGGGGACGAUAAUGACGGUACCCGGAGAAGAAGCCCCGGCUAACUUCGUGCCAGCAGCCGCGGUAAUACGAAGGGGGCUAGCGUUGCUCGGAAUUACUGGGCGUAAAGGGAGCGUAGGCGGAUAGUUUAGUCAGAGGUGAAAGCCCAGGGCUCAACCUUGGAAUUGCCUUUGAUACUGGCUAUCUUGAGGAUGGAAGAGGUAUGUGGAACUCCGAGUGUAGAGGUGAAAUUCGUAGAUAUUCGGAAGAACACCAGUGGCGAAGGCGACAUACUGGUCCAUUACUGACGCUGAGGCUCGAAAGCGUGGGGAGCAAACAGGAUUAGAAACCCUAGUAGUCC